GCAAGAAUGAAGCUAAUUAGAACACUAUCAAGUCUAACAUUCUCUCUCAUCUCAUCAAAGCCACUCUGGGGAAAUCAUUUGUUGAGGAUUAUGUUGAAGAAUGAGACUGCCGGUUGGCUCUUGGCAGGGAGCAUGGUUCUAUUCCAAAGGUUCUGAUAAUUAUAGGAAAGCAUUUAAUGACAAUAUGAUAUUGUAUUUUCAAGAUUCUUGUUUAAGAAUGCAUGGGGAAUGCCUUAUUCUCAGCUUAGAUUCUCAUUUUUAUUCUCCUGCUCCAAAGAAAUAUACAGAUGAAUCCUCUCCCAGCUUCCACUGGAUGCUCACUGGAUCAUCUGUGGGUACCUGUUUUUUCUUGAAGGGACUUCCUAACUUCAUAAAAAAUGUUGACGGCCAAGACCAGGAAACCCACUCUUCAUACCCCUCAGUAAGAGUCAGAGUCUGGGUCGACUCCUCUAUCUCCUGCAUAAGAUACGUGUCGGCCCGGGACCUCGGUGUCAGCCUGAGAUCUCGUUAAUAAAGCUGCCUCUUGUUGUUACAUCAAGAUCGGCUUCUCGUGUUCCUGGGGCACGCCAUUCAUCCCAAGACCGGAGCAAGAGUCUCCCCUAUUUGGGGUUCUCUCAUUUGUUCUUUCAUAUGAGGGCUCGUCCAGGAUCUGGCAUAGCCCCCGGAGACCCAAAGGCCCCUUGGAGGCUAAAAGACCUACAGGUGAUACGGAAAGAAGUCUGGUCACAGCUGGCAGCAGCCUAUACCCCAGGGACC
rnacentral:lncRNA from 1 species